rnacentral:rRNA from 1 species
ACGGGAGGCAGCAGCUAAGAAUAUUCCGCAAUGGACGGAAGUCUGACGGAGCGACGCCGCGUGAACGAAGAAGGUCGGAAGAUUGUAAAGUUCUUUUGGACAUGAGGAAGAAGCGGGAGAGUGGAAAGCUUCCGCGGUGACUGUAGUGUCAGAAUAAGCAACGGCUAAUUACGUGCCAGCAGCCGCGGUAACACGUAAGUUGCGAGCGUUGUUCGGAAUUAUUGGGCGUAAAGGGCAUGUAGGCGGUUUUGCAAGCUUGGUGUGAAAUCCCGGAGCUCAACUCCGGAAUUGCGUUGAGAACUGCAUAACUAGAGUCACUGAGGGGCAAUCAGAAUUCCAGGUGUAGGGGUGAAAUCUGUAGAUAUCUGGAAGAAUACCAAUGGCGAAGGCAGGUUACCAGCAGAUGACUGACGCUGAGGUGCGAAGGUGCGGGGAGCAAACAGGAUUAGAUACCCUGGUA